AUUUUUAUAGUAUAAAAGUAUAUGUAACUUCCAAUUACAAGGUCUAAUUUUUAGUAAAAAUA
rnacentral:tRNA from 1 species